rnacentral:rRNA from 1 species
CGUGAGUGAUGAAGGUUUCGGAUCGUAAACUCUGUUGUUAGGGAAGAACAAGUGCCAUAGUAACUGAUGGCACCUUGACGGUACCUAACCAGAAAGCCACGGCUAACUACGUGCCAGCAGCCGCGGUAAUACGUAGGUGGCAAGCGUUGUCCGGAAUUAUUGGGCGUAAAGCGCUCGCAGGCGGUUCUUUAAGUCUGAUGUGAAAUCUUACGGCUCAACCGUAAACGUGCAUUGGAAACUGGGGAACUUGAGUGCAGAAGAGGAGAGUGGAAUUCCACGUGUAGCGGUGAAAUGCGUAGAGAUGUGGAGGAACACCAGUGGCGAAGGCGACUCUCUGGUCUGUAACUGACGCUGAGGAGCGAAAGCGUGGGGAGCGAACAGGAUUAGAUACCCUGGUAGUCCACGCCGUAAACGAUGAGUGCUAGGUGUUAGGGGGUUUCCGCCCCUUAGUGCUGAAGUUAACGCAUUAAGCACUCCGCCUG